GGAUUGUAUUCCAGGCAGUGGCAUGGUGUGUGGGAUAUGUUUCCAGCCAUCUGGUGCUUGCUUCUGCCAUUUCAAGCAUAAGGCACCCGCCUAGGCAGUUGGAAUAGAGCUCGCCUUGGAUCUUUUAUAUUCCCAGCUCCAAUACUAUAAAGUCCAACCCAAAGUAUUCCCUGGUGCUUCCUGCCAGACAUUCCAGGUGUUCUGCUUUGCUGUGCUCCAGUGCAGUCUGAAUCAGUCCAUGACAAAUGGUACAGCUGUGUUUGUAAUCCAAAGAACUGCACUCUACAAACUGUUUCAAAGGACUUCAGUCACUGAAGAGUAUUACCCUGCAAAGAAUCCAUGAGAGUUCAGCACUAUUUACCAUGUUCAUCUACUAAGAACUUUAUAUAUUUUUCAAAUUAAUUUACCUUGUAAACAUCUAC